rnacentral:ribozyme from 1 species
GCAAGAAAGAAAUAAAGAAAGCUCAGACAGAAAAGAAGGACCCAUUGGGCGAUUUGUUGGUUUCUUGGAUCAAUUCGGUCAUUUCAAUCGAUGCUUUGUUCAUUUGAUUAAU